UCACACGUAAAUUUUAUUUCAAAAUUAUAGAGUCAAGCAUAUACUUCAGUCAAUUAAAAAAGACAAUGUCUCAUUUACUUUAUUACUUUCUAAUUGUGGCUCUAGUUUUAACAGCAGGUAUGCAGGUAUAUGCAUCAACAUGUCCAACGGUUUGUUCCUGUCCAGCCAGGCCAGUAUGUCCAGCUUGCGUUUGUGCAUUGCCAACAGAAUGAUGAUUUAUUAAUUUACUAGACUUGAUUUACUAAUAAAUACUGUUCAUAAAUAGUCACUGAAAAUUUAUCUAAAUGAUUCGCAACUUAUUAAAUAAAUAAAAACAAUAAUAUAUACAGAACAAGUAUAGAGAACAAAUUUUUUUCCCCAAAGAUCCCGUUUUUUCCUGUUACUAUUAAGCCAAAGUUAGGAUAAGC